rnacentral:lncRNA from 1 species
GUCGAUUUGGUUCUAGGCUAGAGUGGGGAAAUUGUGAUGUGGCUGAAAGGAACAAGAGUGCCCCUCAGCCGGCAGGCAUUCGCUGGGGCUCCGAAGUUAAACCCCAACAUAGGAAUGGGCUGAACAUACCAGCCCUGUGCUGGUACAAGUCCUUAUGCAUCCCCUGCGUCUCCUCCCAGUGUCGCUGGCUCAUGAACUACAGUGGAUUUAAAAAGCUGAAGAGCUCAAUGCAAGUGCCCUCUACCCGAAGUGUGUGCUCUUGAGGGCACAUUCCGCAUGGCCAAGCCUUUGUGGUGUCGCCGGGCCUGGCGUCCUCAGCUAGUGGCGCACAUCCCCCUGGACUGGUUGUGGACACGACAGCCUCCUCAGAUUGGGAAGCGACCUGAGAAGCGGUGCUCGGAAGACAGAGGAGGCUGGCCUGGCGCUCUUCAGGCUGAACUCUGCCUGCGUUGCCUUGCGGUGGGUUCCACAGCAGACGCUUCCCCCUUAAGGGAGAUGUUGUGAAAGGAAGGUGCUAACUGUCAGGGGAAGGUGGCGGUGCCAGGCUUUCUGGCUCCAGCUUUGGCUCCUUCUCGCUGUUGUUCUGCUGUCUCUACCUACCGGUCACAGUGGUGCUGGGGACACACGUGUCCCUCUCCCAAGGAUCUGGAGCCAAAGGCGCUUUCAUGAAAAUAUUUAUUACC